rnacentral:rRNA from 1 species
GGCGGGCACCUGAUCCAGCAAUGCCGCGUGCAGGAAGAAGGCCUUCGGGUUGUAAACUGCUUUUGUACGGAACGAAACGGUCUGGGUUAAUACCCUGGGCUAAUGACGGUACCGUAAGAAUAAGCACCGGCUAACUACGUGCCAGCAGCCGCGGUAAUACGUAGGGUGCGAGCGUUAAUCGGAAUUACUGGGCGUAAAGCGUGCGCAGGCGGUUUUGUAAGACAGGCGUGAAAUCCCCGGGCUCAACCUGGGAAUGGCGCUUGUGACUGCAAAGCUGGAGUGCGGCAGAGGGGGAUGGAAUUCCGCGUGUAGCAGUGAAAUGCGUAGAUAUGCGGAGGAACACCGAUGGCGAAGGCAAUCCCCUGGGCCUGCACUGACGCUCAUGCACGAAAGCGUGGGGAGCAAACAGGAUUAGAUACCCUGGUAGUCCACGCCCUAAACGAUGUCAACUGGUUGUUGGGUCUUUGCUGACUCAGUAACGAAGCUAACGCGUGAAGUUGACCGCCUGGGGAGUACGGCCGCAAGGUUGAAACUCAAAGA